GACACACUUAGCUAGUGAUAUAUAUGCCUAACCCACAAGUGCGAAAAUUUCUUCUAUAAAUUCCCACCUUAAGGUUCUCCAUGCCAAGUUCAUCAUAAAUCUCUAGCUUGUAUAUAUCCGGCCAGUUAAUUUCUUCCAUCCAGUCAUGUCAUCCACCGGUGCUAGUUAUGCUCUUGUUCACGUUCAACAAAAGCGUCUUGAGGAGAAAGAAAGAAGAGGGGAGGUUAGUAGUGGCGUGAAAGAUAAAAGAGUAGUUGAUGAUCAUAUGACAAGUAAAUCUAGUGGUAAAAACAAGAUUUACCCUGCCAAUUAUAAUUCUCCGUUGUCGAAUUAAUUUAUAUAUUAAAUGUAAAAUUACUCAUCACAUCCUGAAACUUAAGAUAUAGAAUUACUCAUCACCCGAUGAAAUCAUGCUUGAGAAGUCAUGUAAUUUCCCUAUAUAUUAUCCAUAUAUCCGUUGGCAAUUAUAAUUAUAAUGCUUGAGAAGUCAUGUAGUUAAUUAUAUAUAUGGAAUCAUCAUGCUUGGCUUAAUUGCCAAUGGAAAUUUAUUAGAUGUGUUCAAUUGUAUGUUUCCCUUUUGUUACUCUUUACUUAGUGUUACCAUGAUAUAUAUACAUUGUUGCUGUGUCUUUCUAAUAAUUAAUUAAACUUUUAAAAAAGUCAGUUACCAUCCAAUAACUAUUUAAGUUCUAAGUGUACAAGGUAUUAAGUUCAAAUUUUUCCAAAUGAACGUCCAAGUUUCCACAAACCAUUUAUAACUAUUUAUCCCGAUACCAUCGAAGAACUCGCC
rnacentral:lncRNA from 1 species